GGGCAGAGCCGCGUGGCAGGGGGAGGGAUGCUCAUGGCAGACGAGCCUCCCUGCUUUAGCCCCUGAGCCCCUCUCAGCCUGGGGCCACGACACACAACGGGCGACAACACUACGAAAGGGUCGUGGGCAAACUUUAAAAAUGGGCUCUUGUUGAAGGAGAAGGACGCAGAGAACCUGCGCUUUCCCUUGCCGGCUAGCAGAGACCCAGCCUGCAAGGGGCUGCUCACACUGGGGCCAAGGGACAGUGGGUUGGGAGUGAGGGGCACUGGGCUGGGACUGGCCAUCGAUGUUUACAAAUGCAUCCUGGUGCCAAAAAAGGUUAAGACCCGCUGCCCUAGACUUCCUGCAGCCACCAGUGGGUGACCUGGGUCUCUGUGGGGCACCUCCCGCGGGGCUCAGCCACUGCUGGGGCUAGCCCUGGCCGGCUUUUUUGGAGCGUCCGCUCCCCCCCACCCCCGGCUGCAAGACCAUUCCCACACUUUCCUGAAGCCGCCUCUCGCAUCAGGGAGAGGACUCUGCUUUCCUCAUGCUGAGCUGCCAUGCUCCUAAACUGAGAUGUAUACAGCUUGGUGCAUGUGAAGUUAUGAAAUACAGCCGCUUCUCUGAGGAACUUACUCAUCUUACACAGCUUUGUUUGGGUGCUGCUGGGUGUGAGCAAUGAGGACAAAGGUUCUUGUGAUAAGCUCAUGGGGUUGCUUUGGUUUGUUUAGCUAUAACAGCUUCUUGCUGGCUUUGCACAUUUUCUGCAAGGGUCUAAGUUCCUUCUAGGAGUUAUUUGACCAAAAUUGGAGCAAAAGAGACGAAUGCAAGAUGAUGCAAGGUCAGGAGGAAGAUGCAUUGGAGAAAAAUGGUUUUGAGGAGAGACAGAUGUCAUCAGGAGGGUCAUCAGGUGGGACCACUGGCACCAGUGUUUAACCAGUUGGUGACAGACUUGAGAACCGUAUGGAGGGUGGGUGGUGACAGUUUGUAAGGAAAAGACUAUGGUAUAAUAAAGGUUUCCUUGAAGCCCUGGUGCUCUAGUUGUAGAGAGGGGUAGGGGGACUUUUGUAGCAUCCUGUGAUGCUUUCUCUAGGUCUCAUGCCUUUAGAGAGCUGGUCCCUGAUAGGAAGCAUGAACCUUGCAAAGACUUGAGAUGCAAAAGAUCAAAUGGUUACAAGACUGCAUUAGUGAUCGAAACGUGCCCUGGUGGCUGGCAUUGGCGGAGUCCCGAAUGGGAGAGAGCCUUUUGCAUGCCAUUACAAGAAAUUUGCCAUGAACAGCAGUGCUGGAACUGUCACCUGCUUUUAGCAUGAUGGUGGGGAGGUGAAGAGGAGAGCUGGCAAACCUCGCCUAUCCCUCUGGUGCCACGGCUUUUUUUGACUGUGAUUUGAUGAUACCCUUUUAUCAUAAUGGGCAGCCAUCCCAUUGCAUCCUUUCCAGCCCCAGAGAUGUGAUCAGAGUUAAGGGGAGAAUGUUCUUAAUGAGUCCUCCAAAUCUGCCAGCAAAAUUAGGGAAGACAACUUGAUAUUUCUGAUGCUGCUAAGGGAAAAUCCACCGGGGGAAAAAACCAUAAACACACUUUUUGGCCUUCCUACUACAUCUGAAGAAACAAAAAAGAAUACCAACCUAUCUUCCUCUACUUUGUAUGUCACUAUUACCAUUACAGGACUGUACACCUGCAACUGGGAUAAACAUGGAGAAAAAUGGGAACAUUCAGCUGGAGAUUCCGGACUUCAGCAACUCUGUCCUGAGCCACCUGAACCAGUUGCGUAUGCAAGGCCGCUUGUGUGACAUAGUAGUCAACGUACAGGGACAGGCUUUCCGUGCUCACAAAGUGGUGCUGGCUGCCAGUUCACCUUACUUCCGUGACCAUAUGUCCUUGAACGAGAUGAGCACAGUCUCCAUUUCGGUCAUCAAGAAUCCCUCUGUUUUUGAACAGCUCCUUUCCUUCUGUUAUACCGGGCGGAUAUGCUUGCAGCUGGCUGACAUCAUAAGUUACCUGACAGCAGCCAGCUUUCUGCAGAUGCAGCACAUUAUAGACAAAUGCACACAGAUCCUUGAGGGAAUUCACUUCAAAAUUAAUGUGGCAGAAGUUGAAGCAGAACUGAGCCAAACUAGGACAAAGCAUCAGGAGAGGCCCCCUGAGUCUCACCGGGUUACCCCAAAUCUAACCCGCUCACUGAGUCCACGCCACAACACUCCAAAAGGGAGUCGUCUGGGCCAGGUCAGCACAGUACUUGACAUUCGGGAGCUGAGCCCUCCUGAGGAGUCCACCAGCCCUCAGAUAAUAGAGCAAAGCUCAGACGUGGAGAGUAGGGAGCCCAUACUGCGAAUUAACAGAGCAGGGCAGUGGUACGUGGAGACUGGAGUGGCAGACCGCGGAGGACGGAAUGAUGAUGAUGUUAGGGUGCUUAGUGGAGUACGUAUCAAAACGGAGAACCUGGAAGAGUGGCUGGGGACAGAAAACCAGCCCUCUGGAGAAGACGGGAGCAGUGCUGAAGAGGUCACUGCCAUGGUGAUUGACACAACGGGCCAUGGAUCAUUGGGCCAAGAGACCUAUACAUUAGGAUCUUCAGGGGCCAAAGUGGUCAGGCCAACCAGCAGUGAGAUUGACAGAUUUAGCCCUUCUGGCAGCAUGGUCACUGUAACUGAGCGGUACAGGUCGAAAAGUGAGUCUCCCGGGAGAAUGGAUGAGCCAAAACAGCCCAGCUCCCAGGUCGAGGAGUCAGCCAUGAUUGGAGUGAGCGGUUACGUCGAGUAUCUCCGUGAACAGGAAGUAUCUGAGCGGUGGUUCCGUUACAACCCGCGGCUGACCUGCAUCUACUGUGCUAAAUCCUUCAACCAGAAAGGCAGCCUGGACCGGCACAUGCGCCUCCAUAUGGGCAUCACACCUUUUGUUUGCCGCAUGUGUGGUAAAAAGUAUACCCGCAAGGAUCAGCUGGAGUACCACAUCCGCAAGCACACAGGCAACAAGCCCUUCCACUGCCAUGUCUGUGGCAAGAGCUUCCCCUUCCAGGCCAUCCUCAACCAGCACUUUCGCAAGAACCACCCUGGCUGCGUGCCCUUGGAGGGGCCACACAGCAUCUCCCCUGAGACCACUGUCACAUCACGGGGGCAGGCUGAGGAAGAGUCUCCCCCGCAGGAGGAAGCUGUUGCUGUUGGGGAGACAGCACAGGGAUCUGUAUCCACCACCGGGCCAGAUUGAAACCAGGCGCACGUGAGGGAGAGAACCCUCUUCCCUCCCGUUCAGCUGCAAACAGUCAGCACCAAUACAGCGGGCUGGUACUGUAAUUAGUGCAAUGCCACCACUGGACAGGAAGCAGCUGCCAAGAUGUUGCCAAAAUAGAAGAGUAACAAAAAUAAGUGCUAAAAGCUUUUCCCCUUUUCCUCAUCUCCUUGGGAAAACAAAACAAAAACCAAACUGUGUCAAUCAGCUUCUGAUUCAGGGAUCGACAGGAUUUUUUACAAAUUUUUUUAAUCUUCAGUAGCAAUCCAGGACAGCAGUCACUUCAUUUCUUGACAGCGUUUUGGCUCAGCACCUCAGUCCUUGUGGCAAUGUUGACUGCAAUGGCUCCAAUCCAGUGAAUGCAGUGCACAGGUGUCUGUCUUCGCCAGAGCUGCUGGUCCAUCCUAAGGAGUUAGCAGGGGCCAAGGAUCAGUCACCCCUCCCCUGUUCCCAGUCCUGAUUUUGUGAAGUCAGUGUUCACACUUAGUUUGCAGCAGGUUGAAUGCAACCCUGCUGUGUGUAACUCGUGGAUAUCAGAACUGUUCUUAAAUGAUUUUACAAGCUUAUCCCAGGCCGGUCCACUAACAUUCCUUCCCUUUUCCUCUCCCAGUGACCCAGGCACACACCAGCACUUGCUGGAGGCUCCUUGUUGCCUAGGUGGUAAGUAGCCCACAGUGACUUCUGGUGGUGUUUGGAGGAAAUGGGACAAGAGAGGCAGAAGGACUGGAGUUUGGGGCAGGGGGAAGUAAAACAUGAGGAUGAAGAUAAAGAAGUGUACAAAUGCAUUUAAAGCAGUUUAGCAAAAAGCUCUCUCGUUGAACAGCUUUAAGAACAAUGUGAAUGAAAACUUAGCAACUUGGUUAGGAAUCUUUGAAAAUUCUAUAAAUGUAUUACUUGAAAUUCUGUUUGUAUUAAAAAUUGCAUUUUCUUCUUUAUUUUAACACUGUGUAAAAGAACAUUAUGCAUGUGAGUGGUUUGAGAAUUAAAUGGUUUAAUACUCAAGUUCUGUCUGGUCUGUCUCUUGUAGUUGACUAGUUCAGUUUAAUGCUGUUAUGUUUGAUCUGGGCCAUUUGAGCAAAAAGUCCUCAAAGCAAUGCCACCUUGCCUACAGCCUUCCACUUUUGACUUUCCCCAUUGCGAGGAUCUCAUUGUUACCUGCCACAUGGUAAGGAAAUAAUCGCACUUGGUGGAGCCCACCUUGUUUUUCCUGCUGCCUUGAGUAUGGAGCCUGCUCGAACUGCAACAUUUUCAGUCUGCCAGGGGUUAUUUCCCAGCUUUGAUUCUGGCUCUUUGGAGACUGGAACUCUGAUCUUUCUCCUAAGGUCUUGGGUUUUUUUGGAUGGCCAAGAGACUGAAAUCCCUUUCUGUGCUUCUGCAGCGACCACAGCGCUCUUGCUUAGUUACCCCAUCGCUGGACCACUGCUGGGAGCAGCAGCCAAGGUCUGUUUGCGAGUUGAUACAGAAUUCUUUAUUGCCCACAAACGGGACUGGUGCUUCCCCCUCCCAAAUCUGGGCCUCCAUCUGUUCUCCCUGUUGAGUACCCAGAAAUGCAUGUGCUGAAAGGAGAUGACAGUCUGACAACAAGCGCAUGUUGGGCCUAGUUUUCAUACUCCUUACCCAGUGAAUGGAAGGAAAAGGUCAAGUAAGUCUUGUGACUAAGGCUGAGAAUGGCACUCAAGCAAGCUGGGGUUCCCUUGCUCAGACACUGACUCGGGUAAUUUACAGUUACAGCUUUUAGCAGUGACCAGUUUGUUGGAUGCCUGACUUGACAGGUCGGAAGGCCUGUACACCUCACUCCCUUUGGGCACCCCAAAUCAGUGGCUGUUCUGAAAGGGUUGACAACUGUACCUUUAAUGUCACCCACACUAUAGAGAGACCAGAGCCUGACACUCAGCCUACAAAAGUGUUUUGUGAUCCGCACCCCAGAGGCAUGAUAGUAUAACAGUGGUGAAAGCAAGCGUCUUGUUGCCCAGGACACUUUGCAUACCUUAUUUAGAUUGCAGUAAGUAUGGCUGUGCCAUAUUAAAAUCAGAAUGCAUUCUGCGCACUUGCACAGUCAUGCUUACUACAAUCUCUUAGUGAAAUGCUAUAUGGUGUGGCCCCACACCAGAGCCCAUUCAAGACUGGUGUGGUGCCUGGGCUGGGACCAAUAAGCCAGGCUGGUAGCAUCUCCCUGGAACAGCUGAACAGUAACUGAACACAUACUAAAUAUGAUGUGGAGAUGCUCCUCCCCAAAAAAACCUAACAGCAAAUACGUGAUUGCACACAGCGCAUGUUUUACUGCUCGAAUGCAAGGUCACCAUUCACAUUUUAAGUGCAGUUAACAUGUCAUAAGUGUAACAGGCAAUAAGGCUCUUAAUUGCUGGAGUUCACGAUCUUCAGUGGGGGAGUUACAGGUCAGCAUUUGUGCUGUUCCCUAUCCUCCUUCCCAGUACCAGGCACCUAUUAGGAAAACUGAUGGGCCAACAGGCAGAAUAAAUUCACUGGUCCUGGUCAACAGCCACACCUUAGCAAUUCUUCACAGAUGAGCUAAUGUGACAGUAACUGCAGCCAAAGGCAAGUUCAGACUAGUGCCCUUGAUUGAGGCUUGACAACAGUUUGAUGACACUGAGCACUGCCAGUGAGACUGCUGUUACUCGUUUUGAUAAGAGAUGCAUUUGCUAAACAGACCCUGUCGCAACCGGCAGUUAGCAACCAGCUUUGGGUUUGCCACAGUCACAGAGUACACACAAGGUGGAGGAUUAUUUGGAGAAUCAAUAGUUACUAAAAUCCAGUCCUUGUUCUUAUUACAUCUUCACCUCACAUCCAUGACUGGCAAAGAUGUGCAUUUCCAUUGCAGUUACGUUACAAACCAGAACAGCAAACGUGAAUCACUGACAAAAUGGCUAUAGGCCAAGCAAAAGAUGAUUCAUUCAAAUGAAACAAGGGCUGGCCAUUGGGAUACAAUUGCUUCUCAGCCACCAAAUCCAGCUACCCCUUUAGGCAAGCAAGUGACACUUACGCAGCUAACAUCAGCCGUGAAAAUGCCAGUGUAACUGUUUAUAGUCAGUUAGUAACAAAAUCCCCCAGCACAACUUACUUUAUCCUUCUGUCCUCUCUCCAGUCACUCACAAUCCUAUUCUGCCCAAAAAAGCACUCGAGCCCAUAUAAGACCCUCUCUUUCCCCCGACACCCUCUUGCAAAAAUUAAAGCGCUAAAAUGUUAACUGGACCAGGGACACAACACAUUCUGGCUAGAGCAUUGCACACCAAGGGGUGUUCAUCAAGCUCGUUUAAAUGCCUGGUGCUUUGCUGCCUUCCCUCAAAUAGGUAGUAGCUCCAGGCUUGCCCUUGGGGGCAAGACACUCUCAGCUCAUCUGCAAAAGUCCUAGGGGCCUUGCUGGGCAACAGGUUUUCCCACCUGCCAGUUGCAGACUUAAUUAUUUUAACUUGUGGUGCAAUAUGCACCUACUGAGAUUCCUUCACUGAUCGCUGGACUGUUUGCAAAUACUUUUUCCUCUCAGAGACUCUUUCCUAGCCUCCGAGGUCACAGAGCAAGCAACAGAAUUAGAAGGAAGGUCCUGCUUGCUCCACUUAUUUCUCAUUGAAGUGGACAGAAGGGCCAUCCCCCACUCAUACCAGGCUCUGACUGAGAUCAGCAGCCUCUGGCUUUGGUAAAAAGAUGCAUCCUGGGAAAUGCAAACUGAAGUACAAUGGACAUGGGGAAGAUGCUGCCUUGAAGAACAGCAAUGGAUGCAAGUGAAGGAUUGACCACUAAUGGAGAAUGCCCUGAAAACACCAGAGACCGGAUCUUUUCCAGCUGCACACAGCUCCAGACAAGCCCUUUCCUCUUCUUCCCUAGGGAUGGUCCCUCAGGCCCACAGAAGAGUAGCAGCAGAGGACGUAAAAAGUUCUCCACUAGCCUUUCCUCCCUUAAACUAUAAACA